CCUACGGGAGGCAGCAGUAGGGAAUCUUCCACAAUGGGCGAAAGCCUGAUGGAGCCACGCCGCGUGGGUGAAGAAGGUCUUCGGAUCGUAAAACCCUGUUGUUAGAGAAGAAAGUGCGUGUGAGUAACUGUUCACGUUUCGACGGUAUCUAUCCAGAACGCCCCGGCUAACUACGUGCCAGCAGCCGCGGUAAUACGUAGGUGGCAAGCGUUAUCCGGAUUUAUUGGGCGUAAAGGUAACGCAGGCGGUCUUUUAAGUCUGAUGGGAAAGCCUUCGGCUUAACCGGAGGAGUGCAUUGGAAACUGGGAGACUUGAGGGCAGAAGAGGAGAGUGGAACUCAAUGUGUAGCGGUGAAAUGCGUAGAUAUAUGGAAGAACACCAGUGGCGAAAGCGGCUCGC
rnacentral:rRNA from 1 species